UUAAAUAUUACGUCGCCGCUGAAUAUUACAACUCGGCACGUGCACGCGAAACCCCUGUCCCUCAUCUAGAUAGCCUAAUAAAUAUCCUUUUCUCCCCUUUUUAUCAAGUUCUCUUCUCGUCUUCGCAGGAAUGUGUGCGAAGCACUCAGAACCGAAAACUCUAAAAUUUUCUAUACCUGAAGGUUUUCCCAUACCACAAUUCAUACGGCAUUUUACUGCCCUGUCUCGUCGGCCCCGUUUUUUUAAUGACAACGGUAGAGUUACUUUGGAAUCAACCUGCCCGGACUGACUUGGAAUUACCUGAUAAUUAACUUCCUCGCGAAAGCUCGAACUAUGAUGUCUCCCAUACGCGCAACCUUUACAGGAAAUGUUUCUGACGUCUACAACUUCCCGCAGGGAAGACUUGCUUAUGUGAGUCUAUGGGGGCUGGCAAACCCACGUUCCCGCAGCCAGGGGGGACCGUCGGGACAAGCGUCCCGCUUACGUGAGUUCCCUAUGUACACCGCAGGGAAGGUCGCCGAGAGUGUGAGGCCUUUAAAUACGGUUACACUCUCUCUACGUGGCCUUGGGUAGUAGCGCACCCACGAUCCUGAAGCCAAGGGUGGGACCGCUGGGGUAAGAUACCGGACUAUCGGCGUUGAUCGAUGCCCCGUUGCCUUGAGGCCCCCGCUUAAGUGAGUCCCAUCCGGAACUGUUGAGCUCGGUUAGCAGGUCGCCGACCGGCAGUGACGUGGCCGUACAUCCACUCGAUAGUCGCACCAAUCACUAAAGAUCGUACCACGGGGAUCGAGUAUAAGGUCCGGAGGGAGUUGCGACCCCUCAGCUCAGUUAAUUUCAGUUGGACUCGUGGUGACAGUGGUUGAUGGGCAAGUGCAGGCAAAACGACCGAUUUAAGGGGUGUUGUCUCCCCAGAAUGGCCAGCGGCGGAUGAACAGCGUCCUGGAGAGACGGUACGGUUCGGAAUGCGCCCCGUUCUUCCUAAGAGAAGUGACAACCCCUGCAUGCUUAACAAAUCCAGAUAGUAAGGUACUGGGAACCUUGUGCGCUGGUUGAGCGUACCCCAACCUCUAUGGCCCUAGGGUUACUCGGGUCCAAUAUGGCGUCUACGCUCAGGAAUGAACCCGUUAGUAAAAGACACACUAGAUGUCGUCUACAACUUUUAUAUUCAAAUUCUAUUUAAAAUCGCAAACAUGUCUAACGUUUUGAUGACAAAGCCGCUUGUGCCAUAACUGCAGUGUGUCCGCGUUUGACUCCGCUUUGAGGUGUAAGACGUGACGGGUGCCAAGGCAUAUACAGCGUAUCAAUUUAACAUUGCGUUUAUUAAUGUUAGUAGCGCGUGUUGCUCUCUAGCCUCGCAUUCUCUGCCACGGGCUUUCUUCAUUUCCCUUUUUUAUAUGGUGCCGAUGUUCUCGAAAAAGAGUCUCUUUCAGAGUAGAGUAGUUCUUCCUUGCCGAAAGUUCUUUCGCUCUUCGGAAAGUCCCAGAUUCUUUUUCAUUAUGACAUCAUGGUAUCGGACAUCGUUUCUUUGGCCGUGUGACCAGCACGUGCGCUUCAACCCUUGAUAUUUCUCUAUGGCCCUGUGCCGCUAUACCUUAUAGUUUUCAUCAAUAUGCUUUAACAAGUACAUACAUAUUAUUAAUUCCGCUUCUUUCCCUUGUACCAUGCAUUUUGUUUAACCGUGCUCUUUCGAGUUACUUCAGACCUAAUAUUAUUUUCCUUUCGCUCACAAAGUAAAAUGUUAGUAAAAAAAAGAAAUAUUAUUGGAACUACGGCAAAAAUAGAGACUACGGCGAGCCCGUACUGCCGCUUCGAUGGCUUAGGUAGGAAAGUACGGGCCCUUGGUGUAUAGUAUACGGCUAUUCCACCCAGAGGACUGUGCUUACCGCUAUUUACAGUAGCCCCGUCACCGGAAUUCCUUCUUCUGUGCUUCCUGGAGGCCCGACCAACGCCAGCGUUAUUUUGCGGACGUCUAUGUUCCACUCUCCUGGUGUUAGUGCUGUUGUCCGAGGGAGGGUUAGAAGUGCAUUCUAACUGCUAUCACAGCCUGUUGACGAUGAGCUUCGAGUGUCACAUCUUCUGCCCGACUUUGACCGCUGACGGCUUCAUUUGUUUUGGUCGGUGUUAGGUCUUCCCCUCCAGCCUCGGACGAAGCCCAUCAGUUGGAAUUCUCUAAAAUAGGUAAAUUACUAUUAGGAUUUGAACUCGGGUACCUUGGAUUUGUAGCCGUAUACUAUAUCCACGUCGCCACCGUAGUCAUAUAAUAUUUAUAUUCUAGAACUCAUACUUAAGGUUACAAGUGUCGGGCCUAUAUUGCUUGGAUUCCUGUUGAAACAUUAAAACUCUAGUUGUCCGCUGAAAGCGUGAUUCAGAUUUAAAAAUGGGGUUAUUAAAUUAAAUUAAACCUUGUUUCGUAUCGAAGCCUCGCAUUGCUACACAAUUUUACUUUUUUUUAUUAGAAAAUCAAACAAAAGGCAUGUCUUAUGAUAAUAGAGGAUUGAAACGCGGCCGUAGAGACCUGCCCUUUCUAAUCUCUUCUGCUUCUUAAUAAUGUCACCAAUAUAGUCAAAAUUUGAUUUUACUAGAUAUCAAAAUAUCUACAAAAUCACCUGAAAACAUGAGUAAGUCGCACAAUUUCCAAACACUGAAACACGUGGUUGUAGAAAUCUUUCCCUUUCUCAAUUCUCUUGCUGGUUACCAGCACGGUAUGGUGCAGGUAUUCACAAUGAUGAUUCAAAUGAUGUUUUCUAUCUUGUACUGUUAUCCGCAUCGCAAAACGAUAGCAAAAUAGUGAAACAAUACGUUUCCUAGAGUGUGUGAUAAUUGCCGCGCGGUUGCAGAUGGUUUGAAAGAGCUCGUUAAUUCGCUAUCCCGCCGCGAUUUCCGGCAGCGCUCCAUGAUUCCUGCGUUCAAUCACGUCCACGCGAUAUGCCUACAUCAGCGUUCCUUUGUAAUUAAGCUAUUCUUUCGAUUGGAUAGAUAAUAAUUAGGAAUAGUACACGUAAAUCUGUUCAUCACAACUAUGAUGUUGGGUCGUCUGAUCCGUUCGAUUUCUUCUAUUUCUUCAUCGCGACGUUACCGUUAACGAUAAAAGUGAUCAUGUAAAAGCGGAAACGGCAUCGUGGUUAAUUGCGGUUCAGCCAACCAUGGGAUAGUUUACGAUUAAUAAAUCGCUGCACCGUACAACGCUGCUGGAAAUCGGAUGGUUUGAAACGAAAUCCUUAACGAUCCUUGAAGCUCUGGUAAUGCGUGCCACCCAAUGAGUUUCUCGGUAUACUGAGAAUCCAUGCAGAAGGGAUGUGACAUGGUUGGGAUUUCAUAGUAAUAAUAUUCUAUUAUUUGUAUUCAGAGCUUCCCAUGUUUUUUCGUUUUCCAUGAGUAAUGUUACGUCAUGUGACCCUAUCAUAUACUGUUACGCCACGAGGCUUAACACAGGCUGUAUUUUCUAACCGUCACUCGCGGCCCUACAAUGUCUCAGUCAGAUCGUCUUAUCUGACCGCCGGAUCAUAUACAAUGUAUCGACGAGCGCAUAGCUGUCGCCAAGCAGCGAGUUCUCGAAACGUCGAAUUUGGUCCGUUACGUUUUCCACGCAAGAACAGACAUACGUGAUCAUAGGCGCGAACGGUGGCGUGACCUAAGUAUAGUGGGGGUCGUCUUAAAGAUGAGACAAAGAAAUCAUCCAAAGUCCAUCAGUUCCUUGUGACGCGUCGAACGUUACACAUUGAGCCAAACAUUCGCUUAUUAUAUUAAGUAUCAUAUCGUGCUACGUCCACCAAGAGACUAAGCUCAAUUGUAAGAGCCUUGCUCUAUAUUAUAUACAUCUAUAUUAUCUGCGUGCGAUAAGGUUGUUAAUUGUUGAUAUCUUUUCAAUCGUGUAGACUAAGUGUUGGAAAUAUACAUUAUUAUAAUUCUGUGA
rnacentral:lncRNA from 1 species